ensembl:lncRNA
GGGUACCGGUACAGAGUCAAUGUGGAGGCUAUAUACAAGGGGUACCGGUACAGAGUCAAUGUGGAGGCUAUAUACAGGGUGUUACGGUACAGAGUCAAUGUGGAGACUAUAUACAGGGGGUACCGGUACAGAGUCAAUGUGGAGACUAUAUACAGGGGGUACCGGUACAGAGUCAAUGUGGAGGCUAUAUACAGGGGGUACCGGUACAGAGUCAAUGUGGAGACUAUAUACAGGGGGUACCAGAACAGAGUCAAUGUGGAGGCUAUAUACAGGGGGUACCGGUACAGAGUCAAUGUGGAGGCUAUAUACAGGGUGUACCAGUACAGAGUCAAUGUGGAGGCUAUAUACAGGGGGUACCGGUACAGAGUCAAUGUGGAGGCUAUAUACAGGGGGUACCGGUACAGAGUCAAUGUGGAGUCUAUAUACAGGGG